CCCUGUAUUUGAAGGUGAUCCUGGUCAUGGACAGUGCAGGGAGAGAAACUGCUGAAAGCAUUUCCCCUUGUUUGGAGGGGCCACUCCUGUCCCUUCCAAACUCUGGAGCUUUUCCAUA
ensembl:snoRNA SNORA71 Small nucleolar RNA SNORA71